rnacentral:rRNA from 1 species
UACGAAGGGGGCUAGCGUUGCUCGGAAUCACUGGGCGUAAAGGGUGCGUAGGCGGCGAGGUAAGUCUGAUGUGAAAUCCCGGGGCUCAACCCCGGAACUGCAUUGGAUACUGCCUUGCUUGAGUACUGGAGAGGGAACUGGAAUUUACGGUGUAGCAGUGAAAUGCGUAGAGAUCGUAAGGAAGGCCAGUGGCGAAGGCGGUUACCUGGACAGUUACUGACGCUCAGGCACGAAAGCGUGGGGAGCAAAAGGG